rnacentral:rRNA from 1 species
UACAGAGGUGGCAAGCGUUGUUCGGAAUUACUGGGCGUAAAGGGCGCGUAGGCGGUCCUCUAAGUCUUGUGUGAAAUCCCUCGGCUCAACUGAGGAACUGCACGGGAUACUGGAAGACUUGAGUUCGGGAGAGGGAAGCGGAAUUCCGGGUGUAGCGGUGAAAUGCGUAGAUAUCCGGAGGAACACCGGGGGCGAAGGCGGCUUCCUGGACCGAUUACUGACGCUGAGGCGCGAAAGCUAGGGGAGCAAACGGG